UAGUAAAAAAAAAAUAAAACCAAUGCAACGCCCUUUCAUGAGGCAAAGCCAGGCUGAACGUUAGAGGCGCUCAACCUAACCGACCUAUAGGGGAAUACGUUGCGCCGCGCCGCGCCGACUCGCCGCGUUUCUCAUACCAGAAAUAGCUCUCAGAAAAGUAUGAACUCUUCUUUCCCUAAACUGUGUGUUAGUGUGUUAGUGUGUUCGUCGCUAUUUUCAUCAAUAACUGGAAUAAUGUUAGUUUUAUCAAAUAAGUGAGUUAAAAUUUAUAACAUAAUUAACCCUUUUCAGGGCGCCCAUAUACUUAAAUCGAGGAAGACCUUAGUUACAACUAUUUACAGGUACCAGCUAUAAUUUAAUUAAAAGUAAUACGUACGUGAAAAGGUAAAGACGGAAAUAGUUAUAGAAGCCUAUGUUCUUUACAACGUUGAAUAGAAUGAUAUUGCAGUUAUACCUGUGAUAUUUUCUUCGAUUAUUAAAAGGAGAACUAAUGGCACCUAACAUAGUGCCAUUGUUCAAGACAUGAUAUAAAUCUGUGAUUUAGGGCUCUCAUAUAUUUAAAACGAGGAACGCCGUGAAAACACGGACACUGAAAUUUAGGGAAAGAAGAGUUCAUACUUUUCUGACAAGGAAGGGUUUUUAGGUGUCCGCCUCCGAUUGUUUUGAUUUUUGGAUAGGUUUUAAAGGACCGAAAAAUAAGGCCCUGAUUCGAAAAGAGACGUUUCGUGGUUUUGACGAUGUGUGACAGCGGCGUUCGAAAGCGUUGAACCGUACCUUUCUUUUGUACCGAUAUAUGUGGCUCAUAACGAGCCGCGAACGACUAUUAUUAGCAAGGUGACCAAGCCACGCGCAAGUAUAGAAAAAUAAAUUACUUACGUAG